rnacentral:misc_RNA from 1 species
GUUUUGAACUCCUUAGCAAAUGCAAGUAGAGUUCAGUUUUCAGGGAAAAUAAAAUAGUAUACAAUAAGUUGAUUUGACAUGGAAUUUGUCAUCUCACUCUUGUUAGUAUAAGAAAGAGAAUAAAUUCAAAGGAACAAAAUGAAAAUCAAUAUGAAAAAUGCUGCAGCCUACAAGGCAGUAAGCGACUCAAACCUAAAUAAACAGCAACUCUUCAGAUUUCAGAAGCCGUCAAUUUCAGUCGGCAAAAACUUUAUGGGUUUAACUUGAUCGCUAAUUUUGGGCUUGAGAUUACUGAUUAGAAUUGCCGAUAGCAGUCCAGUUGAGCAAUGUUAUGAAUUCGACUAAAAGACCAAAGAAUGUUGGUGCAGGCCCAGGUAUACUACAGAAGGAAUAAAAAGAGAGCAGAAGAUUCUGGAGCUAAUUCAUCUGCUGUCAUAAUUGGUGGAGGAAGACAUGAAUUUAGCCUAACUCAAUCCCAAA